CGCAACGAACGGUAGACUGCAAUAGUCGUCUCGCACCGCCCCCGCCCUCCCCCAAACCCUAGACAACAUCGCUCGUCUGCCGCCGGCGGUCGAGCACGCGCUAAAGCGGCAGCUCUGGGAUGGUGAGGUGAUCCCGUACGCGACCUGCUGCGUGUGUGCUAGGAGGUGGGCACGGCAAGGACGCACGACGCCGUUCCUGCUGCUACCGUUGGUACAUCACCGCCGGCGUUCCACCCGUCGCCUCCCAGUUCUCCUCCUCAAAUCCGGCUGCGUUCCGAGGCGGAGCGCCGCUCCGCCGCUGAUCAGCACCAAAAUGGAACCCCCUCAAUGUCCUCUCUCUUUUCCUCCGCUCAACGCACUCUCCCGUACCCUAAAUUUUCUGGAUUUUAGGCUGUAGGUGCCGCUGGCCACCAUGCAGAUUACUGAAUGUACAUCAGUACAUCACAUUUGAUGCUACAAUUCCUAUGCAGUUGCCAGCUACAAUCCACUGGAGCAUGAUGCCAAUCUUACCGUCGGUGGCAUCCUCUAGGGAUGAGACUAAAAGGUCAUAAACAGGCAUGGAAAGCGUCUGAUAUCAGAGAGAUAUCAACGGCUGAUCUGGAAGUUUGUGCUCUAACACUAACCAAAUCUCAGUUGAUUUGUUGUCUUAUUGACAUUAGUCUUAGGCACUUUUAUUAAUAAUUUUGCCUAGAGAUUUAUCAAGAAGCUUACUAUCCAAUCAACAACAUAUAGCUAAUGUUCAGAAACAAUACAAUACUUAUUGAUUGACUACGGCGUGGUGGAAGAAAGAAAAAAAUAAUCCCACUUUUGUUUCAGUAUUGGCUUUAGCAAGAUAAUAGUCUUGGACUAUUGGUUGGUUGUGGACUUGUGUCUGAUUCUUGCUCCUGUGCAGUGCUGCAGACGGAGAGGAUACACACAUGUGCAGGCGUGCAGCUACGACACACACGUGGGGUCGAGGCUGACUCAAAUGACAUGGAGUGUAGUUUAGCAGUUUGAGAAAAUGCCCAAGUAGUAGUCGGUAUAAUUGUUGAUUUGAUAUUGUCUUACUUAUUGAAAGUUUCAACUAGCAUUGAUAUCGACUACUAAUUUUGACAGAUGAUUGUUUUGACAAGCUUGCAGUUGAUACUGAUGAGUGAUGACAAACGUACAAUCCCAUGCUUUCAUUGCUUGCAGAGGAUGUCAAGCACUUGCAUUCGGUAAGUCAAUACCUCUUUAAAUGGAAUUCUCAAGGAAUGCAAACCCUUCACUGUUAUCUACACCCUUCUAUAGUAUGUCUCUGCACACAUUAUCUGCCUAUAAAAUAUGACUGGAAAAGCCUAAAAAAUAAUGAUACCUACUUGACAACAUUUUUCUAGCUUGGGGUUCAUGAUCUAUGUGAUUUCAAUAAUCACUUUUCAUGGCUAAAUCUGCACGGCAACUGACCAAGUGUUCUACGCAUUUUAAUGGUACUAGCAUGUAAUGGAUGUAUGUGCACCAAAUUGAAUAUUUAUGCUGCUUCUAAUUUUGUCACCAUUUGUUGUGUGCAGAAAUAUAUGAGGGAUUUAUGAAGCUGGCUCAUCAAACAUUUGCCAAGUGGGGGGGGGGGUAAUAAUUUCAGAAUAUAACAAAAGGUCUAACCUGUGCAAAGGUCUAUUAGCUCUCUAUCAGUACUUCAGUAGUAGUGCUUUUACAAAGAGAUGAUGCAAUCAUGCUCUAAUGCCAUAAUGUGCCUUAAAUAUUGUGAGCAGAGGAGAACUUGUUCUUCUGAAUUAGGAAACCCUGAACAUAUUGUUAUAAUAAUGUUUGCACAAGUUACUGUUCUAAAGCAGCCCAACCAUAUUAAUGACAUCAAAUAGAAAAUUGCAAAAUUCUUGUUCUUCUGAAUUAGGAAGCACUGUGAUGCAAUGAUUUUGAUGGAAAUUACUGCUAUAUGUUUGCCAGCACUAACAACUGUAAUUUUUCUUUUUGACUGUGUACUAGAGAAAUGGAAUUGGAUUACCAUGGAAAGUCAUUGUGUUUCGAGUUUGAUAAUCAGUGUUGAUCCAAAAAAAAUAAAAUGAAUUUGAAUGUUCUAUUGUUCUUGUCAUCUUUAUUUGCAGCAAAACAAUAGAAAGCAGCAUCUCCCAUAUUCAAGAAUGUUGCAAGACAUUGCUCCUGCAAUCAAUAUGCUUGAGUCACAUAUGUUUACCUUUGCUCAUAUUUCAGGAAAACACUCCAUCAAAUGGUACACAAUUUGUCUCCUACAGAUUGGUAUGUACUCUUUUUAGUUUUUUUUUCAAGUGUGGCAUUGAAGUGUUUGUUGUACAAUCCACCGCAAGAACCAUGUCAAUAUGGAGUGCUCAAUCUCCCAGAUAAAUGGUGCUGAUAAGAUUUGGGCAAUUAUAGAGUGCUUCGUCUCCCAGAUUGUGAUUUGGUUUUUGUUUAUAACUCCUUGAAUUGUAUAAUAGAAUAACAUGUGUUGUCUGUAACAUGUCCUCUUUUACUACAAUACAUAGUACAAAUCUUAGCAACCACUAACAUGAGUCUAGGCUUUCACA